rnacentral:rRNA from 1 species
AUACGAAGGGGGCUAGCGUUGUUCGGAUUUACUGGGCGUAAAGCGCACGUAGGCGGAUUGAUCAGUUAGGGGUGAAAUCCCGAGGCUCAACCUCGGAACUGCCUUUAAUACUGUCAGUCUAGAGACCGGAAGAGGUGAGUGGAACUCCUAGUGUAGAGGUGGAAUUCGUAGAUAUUAGGAAGAACACCAGUGGCGAAGGCGGCUCACUGGUCCGGUACUGACGCUGAGGUGCGAAAGCGUGGGGAGCGAACGGGAUUAGAUACCCUAGUAGUCC